GUUGCAUUCAAAUAACAAAAAAAUAUAGUCUUGUACUGUCAGUUUUUUCUCCAUUUUUUCUAAACCUGGAAAACAGCAGGGGAAGGCCCCACUGUUAGAUUUUCUAUAUUUAGAUUGGUCAGGUACAAACAUUAGAUUCUAGACAUAAGCUUUUUCAUGCCUGAUGAAAUUGAGGUAAAGGUAAUUCCUACAUGAUGCAUGUCCAACACUGAUAACAUUUAUCAGUUAGAAUUAUGCUUUCAAGAGUUUCAUAUAAAAUCUGCUAGUAGCAUUCAUUGGCCAUUAAAUUGCAAUUUUUGUAGCUACAUUUGCACAAGAUUGCAAUAGAAAAAGGUAGAAAUCACAUUUAGACUGCCUAUCUGAGUUCUAGCUCUUCUCUCCUCCUGCUCCAAGUCCACAGUGUAAAACAAGACUUACUUCAAAGUUGGGAGACAUCUAAUGAGUUACAAGAUACUCCCAUUAACUAAAAGCAAAAGCUAAGAAACCAUUCAAUCCAUGUUCAACCUUCACGCAAGACAUCAACCAGAUUUCCAUAUGAAAUAAAAAACAUAUCAUAAGCACUGAAAUAGUCGCAUACUUCUACAACUUGAAAAAAAGAGAGCAACAACUAGGGAAACAGAAACCUACCGAUACAAACAAGUAGAGCUGCUACUGGAGCAUGUUCAAAUGCCUUCACAAGGUGUCCAGCUACACGUGGAGCAGCUGCAAUUAAAAUAUGGUGAGGUUAUACAUGUGCAUAUAUUACAGCUCAAAUAUAUCUCUUAAAUACCUACAGUGGCUGAGGAUGAAAUGAAAAUACACUACAAAAUAACCACCCCUCUUGCAAUGCAUAUAUACGUUGCUAAAGGUACAUGUAUGUAUUGGUAAGGUCUAUAAGGAAAUGGUACACUAAAUACUAGGAAACCUGCACAGAGAUAUGAAAACCGGGAGAGAACCAUUAGAAUGCUACAAAGUUAAAUUCUGACCUACUAGUAGGGUUUCCGUACUCUUGAUAUACUCAAAUUUCUAAAAACAUUAUCUCCCAAAACAAAUCUGCAAUAACAACAAAAAAACAAAAGAGAAAUGGGUGCA
rnacentral:lncRNA from 1 species